rnacentral:snRNA from 1 species
GUGUUCGCUUAGGCAGCACAUAUACUAAAAUUGGAACGAUACAGAGAAGAGAAGCAUGACCCCUACGCAAAUUUGUGACGCGUUCCAUAUUUUU